GUCACGUAAAUAACAUGGCACCGCCAAACGUCAACGGGUGAACUCGUGCACUGGUCCAUAGGAAAUCCCAAGGUACCUUUAGGUACAGGUACAGCAAUCUAAGCAGUCAGUGGAUGCGGGGAGUGGUAAACAGCGAGGGGAGGAAAAUGACAGCUGGUGAGUCGGCGAGCUGGCGAGUUUGUUAAUACAAUUUUCCCCUCCAUCGGUUGCUAUCGUCUCCAUAGUGCCUUAAUGUUUAUUAUUACGUGUUGAAAAUUCAAAAGGAACAUUUUCUGCAGAUACCAACGACAGUUUCAGAGUACAGGAUGCUGUGAUUCCACCACGCGAGAAAUUAAUUGAAAAUAAAACAAAUUCUUAAUGUGAGGAUGACACAGACGAUUGCGUAGCGCAGCUCAUGAUUCGUUCGGCUCGAAAAGGACAAUUUCAAUCACGGAGGGUAUUACGUACCUACUACAGAAAACCAAAUAAAUUCAUCAAUUUCAGAUGAUUCUUCACAACGUGCGUUUUGAAGAUGGGAAUUGGAGCAAAACAAGCAUUUGCUAUUAUGGAGAGUUGUGCUAUUCCCGUGUAGUUCCAGUGAUACAGUGACACAAUUCAUAAUGUGUCGAAAGUGUAUGAAUAAAAACUUUAUGCUAGAAAUGAAA